AUGUGUAUAGUGGUUAAAACCAUUGUUGCCACAUACCAUGCCUUCCAGUACACCUGUCAUCAUCAUCCAUUUUCUCAACGUCACAACCAACGGUGGCCACAUUGUCCACAGGGGAGGUGUUUUCUUGUCUUGUUUCUAGAUGUGAAUGAACUGAAGGAGUGUCUUUCUGUGCUGGUUAAAGAGCAGCAGGCCCUGGCCGUCCAGUCCGCCGCCACCACCCUCUCAGCCCCGAGACUCCAGCACAGGCUGCUGAUCUUGGAGCGCUAUUUCGUUGCCUUGACUAGAACCGUUUUUCAGGAGAAUGUCAAAGUUAAGUGGAAAAGCAGCAGCAUUUCUCUGCCUCCUGUGGACAAAAAAAGGGAUGUUCACGGAACGCCAGGCACCAAAGGGCCAGAAGCGUCCCCCUGCAGGACCAGCACUUGGCCCUGGUCAUCCUGCUGGAGCUGGCUGUGCAGAGAGGCACGCUGAGCCAAAUGUUGUCUGCCAUCCUGUUGUUGCUUCAGCUGUGGGACAGCAGGGCACAGGAGACUGACAAUGAGCAUUCUGCCCAGGACACCAGCACCCCGCUUUUGCCCUUGCUGCAAAGGUUCCAGAGCAUCAUUUGCAGGAAGGAUACGCCCCACUCCGAGGGUGACAUGCACGUGAGUGUCAUGAUGGAACUUUGUGUUUAGGUGGCACUGGAUUCUUGUUAUUUUUUAAGUAAGACCAGCAUGCGUGUCCACGGCAGUGUUUUUCUCUGCUGUGUGCAUAUUUGGUGGAAACAGCAGCGAGUCAGAUGAGACAGGUGUGGGAGGUCACUUGUUUGUGGAGAAGACUUGAAUCAGUGAGCACCGACUUCCUUGUCAGCACAGAACCAAGCUUGAAACACGCACUUUUAAAUCAAUACCAGAAAAGAACAACGAAAACAGUGGCCUGCUUUGUUGGCCCUUCCUGUGUACUGGGCUCUGUGCAGGGCAUGUCACCUGAGUUG
rnacentral:lncRNA from 10 species